UACGAAGGGGGCUAGCGUUGUUCGGAAUUACUGGGCGUAAAGCGCGCGCAGGCGGUCUUUCAAGUCAGUGGUGAAAGCCCGGAGCUCAACUCCGGAAAUGCCAUUGAAACUGUGAGACUUGAGGAUGAGAGAGGUGAGUGGAAUUCCCAGUGUAGAGGUGAAAUUCGUAGAUAUUGGGAAGAACACCGGUGGCGAAGGCGGCUCACUGGCUCAUUUCUGACGCUCAGGCGCGACAGCGUGGGGAGCGAACAGG
rnacentral:rRNA from 1 species